ensembl:lncRNA
CACUCAGUUUCCCCGGAAUCCGCUGCACUGCCGCCGCAGUCUGACAGAAGAGCGAGCGAGGGUGCAUCAUGACGAGCAACAGGUCGUGUACUGGGAAGAUUUGGUGUUGAUGGAGGAGGCAACAUCUUCAAGGCAAAACCUUAGACCUGAUGCAACAUCAUCCAGUGUCAAAAUCACCCUUUAGGAGGCACUUGAAGACCAGUGCCCAAUAUGCACAGGAACAUUUCCAGUGUCAGAAGUAGACCUGCCAUGCCAGCUUUUGUGGAGACAGGUAAUGGUAAUAGGGACUCACAUUGAAGCUUAAAAACACCUUUCAAAAAAAAAAAAAAA